GCGGUUGUAGUAUAACGGUAGUACAUACGGUUGUGGUCCGUAUAGAGAGGGUUCGAUUCCCUCCAUCCGCC
rnacentral:tRNA from 1 species